rnacentral:tRNA from 1 species
AGUAGCAUGGCGCAGUGGUAGCGCGUGAGGCCCAUAACCUCGAGGUCAUUCGAUCGAAACGAGUCACUGCUA